rnacentral:rRNA from 1 species
UGGGGAAUAUUGCGCAAUGGGCGAAAGCCUGACGCAGCGACGCCGCGUGAGGGAUGAAGGCCUUCGGGUUGUAAACCUCUUUCAGCAGGGAAGAAGCGAGAGUGACGGUACCUGCAGAAGAAGCACCGGCUAACUACGUGCCAGCAGCCGCGGUAAUACGUAGGGUGCAAGCGUUGUCCGGAAUUAUUGGGCGUAAAGAGCUCGUAGGCGGUUUGUCGCGUCUGCUGUGAAAAACUCGGGGCUCAACUCCGAGCUCGCAGUGGGUACGGGCAGACUAGAGUGCGGUAGGGGAGACUGGAAUUCCUGGUGUAGCGGUGAAAUGCGCAGAUAUCAGGAGGAACACCGGUGGCGAAGGCGGGUCUCUGGGCCGUAACUGACGCUGAGGAGCGAAAGCAUGGGGAGCGAACAGGAUUAGAUACCCUGGUAGUCCAUGCCGUAAACGUUGGGCGCUAGGUGUGGGGCUCUUUCCACGAGUUCUGUGCCGCAGCUAACGCAUUAAGCGCCCCGCCUGGGGAGUACGGCCGCAAGGCU